GGGGUCUCAUGAAUAUUCAGGAAGUCAAAACGUGGUCACAUGGCACUUUUCCGGAACCUGGUGAGCUGAAGUUAGCGGACUGCCAUAGCAGCUUAUAUUUACUAUGGAAGAAGAGUAUUCACAACCAUUAUUCAUAACAGAUUCUGAGGAGAGUGAAAAAGAAAUUGGAGAAAGUGAAUCUCAAGCACAGACGCAAGCUCCAAGAUUCAUGCCACUUUUCACUCCACGCUUUAGUUCUGAGAAUACAGCAUUGAUAUUUUUUAUCACUGUAUGCAAUUUUUUACUCAUUGUUGUACAUCUUUUUUUUUAAAAUUUUAUAACCAGAGAUAUUUGUUAUUUAUAGAGAAGGGGUGAUUCUUUCUUUAAUAAUGUCAUAACAUUCGAUUACUUAUACAUGUAACUUUUUGUAUUUGCAUAUGACUUUGAUGACGUCCAGUCAUGCCAAAAAAGAAAUUAUUUUGUCAUGUGUAAUCCCUGUGAUUAUAUCAUAUAUUGUUAAUUUUUUUAAGUUUUAUAUUUUUGGUUUUGUAGUUGGUAGUUUUCAUAUGAUUGAUGUUGAUCAUGAUACACAGUUUUGUUUUCUGUUAUUUUUAGAUUUAGGUCAUAAGUUUUCACCCAGAAAAAUUCUGUUAUUUAUUUAUUUUUGUUGAUUUUAAGUUUUAUUGAUUUUGUU